UAGCGAAACCGCCCCCGGUGCGGGGCGGUCGUCGGAGCGUGGCGGCUCCGGCCUGACGAGCAGCCGAAA
rnacentral:hammerhead_ribozyme from 2 species